CGGACGGGUGAGUAACGCGUGAGGAAUCUGCCGAGAAGUGGGGGAUAGCUCGCCGAAAGGCGAAUUAAUACCGCAUAUGGUCAGUGAAGACAUCUUCACAACACCAAAGCCGGGGCAACCUGGCGCUUCUUGAUGACCCCGCGGCCUAUCAGCUAGUUGGUGAGGUAACGGCUCACCAAGGCUAUGACGGGUAGCUGGUCUGAGAGGACGACCAGUCACACUGGAACUGAGACACGGUCCAGACACCUACGGGUGGCAGCAGUCGAGAAUUUUUCACAAUGGGGGCAACCCUGAUGGAGCGACGCCGCGUGGAGGAUGAAGGCUUUCGGGUUGUAAACUCCUGUCAUUUGAGAACAAGGUGCAUCGAUUAACUGUCGAUGUAUUGAUAGUAUCAGAAGAGGAAGAGACGGCUAACUCUGUGCCAGCAGCCGCGGUAGUACAGAGGUCUCAAGCGUUGUUCGGAUUCAUUGGGCGUAAAGGGUGCGUAGGUGGCGAGGUAAGUCAGGUGUGAAAUUCCGGAGCUCAACUCCGAAACUGCAUUUGAUACUGCCUUGCUUGAGGACUGGAGAGGAGACUAGAAUUUACGGUGUAACAGUGAAAUGCGUGGAUAUCGUAAGGAAGACCAGUGGCGAAGGCGGGUCUCUGGACAGAUCCUGACACUGAGGCACGAAGGCUAGGGGAGCAAAUGGGAUUAGAUACCCCAGUAGUC
rnacentral:rRNA from 1 species